rnacentral:rRNA from 1 species
AUGGCUCCUCCGUCCUCCAACUCUGUCUCCCCAAUUCAUCCUCCAUCCCUUUCUGCUCGAGGUGCUCAUCAGCCCAGCUUUCAGGAUUUAAUAAUGAGUUAUCUUGGGCUUCAUUGGACAAAUGAUCUACCUGGAGCAAUGAUACAGAAUUAUAUCAAGUUCGCUAUCAACUGUACUUGGCUACACCUGCAACAUGAUGCAUUUCUCUUCCAGUUUAUUGAAUAUGUGAAGUUCAUACAAUGCGCCAGGUUCUACUGCAACAGUACGACAUACAAAGUGAUGGAGGAGAGGUGUUCAGAGAAAGAGUUAUACAUGUGCCAGGUUCUGAAGUAUGAGGAUCCGGUGCGAUAG